rnacentral:lncRNA from 1 species
GGCUAUAGUGAUACUGAAAAUGCCAGAGUUAAUCUUUGAAUACACUGGGGGCUUUCGCAUUUGCUCUUUUAAGUUAUUUAUUUUCCUUAACAAAGUUCUAAUACAGUUAAAGUACCAGUCUCUGAGUCCUGAGUCCUAAAGUUUGAGCUCCAGUCCUACGUUAAUGGAGUUGGGUAGGCUCAUGACAUAUUAAUUAACAGAGGACCCACAUAAACUUAUUAUAGAUUUUGCAACAGUCAUGAUACAUGGCUACUACGUAAUCAUCAUUUUCUAAUCUCACAGCAACAGCUGCGAAGGGCUAGUGAUCACUGAUCAUGAUCUUUAUUAACUACUUCAUAUAUAUAUAAUCCUGCGACUUUAGAACCGGCAUUCGGUUGGUGAGACGCCGCACAUUGAUGGCAAAUUCGCAGCUGUCCUGAAAGCCUCAAAAACAUCCUGACCUUGAAGUUGCCCCUGGCUCUGUUGCUGCUCAAUAGCCUGCCUCAGACCCUCGCAUCUGCACUGUGACUGCAUCUGCUUGAGAUGGUCACAGCACCCACGAAGAGACCGUUCUUGAUUGUCACUUCUUCUUGGUCCCUGUCCGGAAACUUGUUGUUUGAUAUAUUCCUGGCAUUGCCUGAGAUUUUGUUGCUCUUGAAUCUGCCCACGACACCCCUGCUGGCUUGGGUUUGUUCGAGUUUGGCGCAUGCAACGCACACCGCAAGAAGAUACAAUUUCACCUGCUCUCUGCGCCACUCUUUCAGACUCUUCUCCAUGUAGCUGUCCCUGCUGAAUCUGAUCCUCUGCGAUAUAUUUGAUUGCUUCACAUUGGCAUUCAUCUCUUACUUGCUUUACCUGAUUGCAGCAUUGCUGGAGUUGCUGGCUCUCCUGCUGCUGGUUUUCAUCUCCAGGCAUCCUUAACACUUCUUCUCCUGGUGAUCUUCUUGAACUUGAUUGCCUCAGGUAUCGCUCGCAGGAGCUCAAGUCCUUCCUCUGAACUUCCUGGCGGCAUUGCUGCGAGCUCGAUCCUUCCCUUUCACCCUUUGACUCGUCAAUCUCAAUGGUGGUGAUGGUGGUCCUGUAAGCGAAAGACGCAUUGGCAAUGAUGAACAAGAGAACACUAACGAGAGCAAUUGUGGGUAUGAGCUUUGCCAUUGUUACUGAAUAUCAGAAAGCUGCUCUUAUGGAAUAUAGUAGAUGAUGGUAAUGGGCUCUUAUAGGAAAUUUAGGGGAGUGCAUGUCGAGAACGUGUAAGAUUUAUGGAAUGGCCAGUCAUUUCUGGCAUUUUUAUGGGGUGGCUACCUAUGGUUUUGAGAUCUGCUUUAAGCUUACACGUAUGGCAGCAGCAUGCAAUUUCUGUUUGCUUCAUAUGAUUCUUUUUAUGGAUUUUGCUGUUGAUGUUGUUGAAGUAUAUAAUUUUAAAUUUAUUUUAUUUUUUAUGUACAUUUGAUAAUAAUUAUAUUUUUUUAUUAAUAAAAAUAUGACAUAUAUAUAAAUAUUUUAUAUUUUAAUAUUAGGUAGUUAAUAUAUAUUUUAUUAUUUAAAAUUAAUAAAAUAUAUAUCAGUCAUCUAUCAAUUUAGUAUAUAACUGCAGACAUAUAUCAGGUUGAGAUAAAAAAUUCAUCUGCUUUAUUAUAUAUUUAUAUGUUCUUGAGUUAAAAGAACAAAGCAUAUAUAAUUUCUUUCGAGAAGAAAUAUAGAUAUUCUAUUAAUGAGAAUUUGAUAGAUAUAUUUUAAUAUAAAAAAUAAAAAUAAAUAUCAAAUAUCAAAAAAUAUAUAUAAAAAAAUUAUUUUUAACAAUCAUCAAUCGUGUUGAUGGAACAAUAAAUUACAAUUUCGUGAGAAAUAUGCUUUAUUAGGUGGCACUAAGUUACAUAUCAAUUUUACAAAUAUUUUUUAAUGAGUCUAAUUGUUUCAAUGUCAAUUUUGAUCUUUUUUUUUUUUCACCGUUGCUAUAGAGUAAGAAUUCAACGUCUCUGUAAUGAAAAAUCAUAAAACACUUAUAAAAAGAGAACUCAAAACCGAUAUACCUCUAUAAUGGAAAACUACAAAAUCCUUUAAGAAAAUUAAUAAUAAAAAAAUAUUACUAAUUUAAAAGUGAUAUAACGGAGGACGACAAAAUCUUUUAAGAAAAAUACUAAUAUCUAUUUAUAAAAUUAAUUAAUAAUAAAAAGUUAUUGCUAAUCGGCGGUAGAUUAAAAAAAUAAGAUUUUAAUAGAAAAAAACAAACAGCUUGAGUUUUUUUAAAAGUAGCUUGAAAUGCUAUUUUUGUAAAGUAUAUAUAAUUAAUUUGAGGGUUAAAUUUCAUUUUUAUCAAUCACUAUUAUUUUAUAGUAUAAAACGCUAAGAGCCAAUUAGUAAUAUAAAGAAUCUAGAAUUGCAUUAGAAGAUAAUUUUUACAUAUACAUUAACAGUAGUUUAAAGGAAAGAUAAAAAGAAAUGUUGUUUUCUUUUUUCAAACAUAGAAUAAAAUCUUAUUGCUUUUGCAGUAAUCCUUUUCUAAUAUGGUUUUGUUUCCUGUUAAUGUGCACAUCUAAAUACUCAUUAGAUUAAUUUUAUACAAAACUGCUUGCACAAGAGAAUUAUGAGUUGUCGCACUUACCGUUAUUUAUUUAUUUCUAAUUAUAUAAAUAAUAAUAACAAAAUAAAUCCCUGUAAUUACAGAUAAUUGAAUUUAAUUAUAUAAAAUAAUUUACUUGUCAUAGUAAACAAAGUAAUUAUAGAAUUUCUCUUAAUAAAAACUAGUCUUCCACAUUACAAAACUAUUGAUGUUAUUUUUAUUAAUAUAAAAUAAAGUUAUAAAAGAUAAUAAAAUUUCAAAUCUUUAGAAUUAUUUAUCAUAUCUUUUUUUUAUUAAAUUAUUUAUCAUAUUUUAAAAUAACAACAAUUAAAAUUAAUAAUAUCUAAAUAAUAUAUAUAUAUAUAUAUAUAUAAUAUACAUUCUUAAUAUAGUUAUUUAUUAACUUACUAACUUAUUUAAUUAAAUAUAUUUAUUCAUAUCACAUGAAGAUUAGAUGAAUCUAUUUAUCUAAAUUUAAUUUAUUUUCUCGUAUCAUACUUGACUUAAAUAUAUUUAUCGUUUGUAUUAUAAAUUAUUAAACUUAACUACAUGCUGUAUCAUUUAAUAAAUUUAUAUAAUUUCUUCUCAUAUUAUUUAAUAGAAUCGUAUCAAAAAUAUUAAAUCUCAUUACAUAUCGUGUUAUUUGAUUUGGUGGUAUCAAAACCUACCAAUCUAAAUAAGCAGUUACUUUCUUUGAUGAAAAUCAGUGGUUCAAUUAUUGCGUAAUUUGAGAUUAUUGGAUCAAUCUAUUAUAUUCUAUAUUCUAUACAGAUCAGUUAAUUAUUGUUUUGCUAGCCAAUCAUUUAAGCAACGUUAUUUAUUUCAUAUUAUAUCUCGAGAAAAAUAAGUAAGUUUAAAUUACUUAAUUCUGUUAUUCUAUAUGAUGAGGAUUUAAAUUUAAAUAAAAAUAUGCACGUACUAUUCAAAUUUAAUUAAAAUUUAAAUAUCUAUAUUAAAUAUUCAAUAUAUCAAUACAAUCUAAAUAUAAAUAUAAUAUCUAAAAUAAUAAAAAUACGAGUUAAUUAAUAAAAUUUAAAAUAAUAUUUUAGAUAAUAAAAAUAUAAUUUAAUAUUAUAUAAUCAAAUUUAAAUAAACUUAAAUUUAAAUUCAACCCAAAUCCGAUAUAUUAUGAUUUUUAUUUGAAUUCGUCUUGAGUAUAUAUAUAUAUGUACAUUGGAGGAUUCAGUACUUUGGAUUAAUUAGAAGAAGAAUGUAGACUUUUGAUAAAAUUACUAGUUGACUAAUAAACCUUAAAACUUACAUAUUAAGUAAAGCAACAACUUAGAAAGCCUUAGAACUUGCGUACACACAUCAUAUAUUUGUUUAUGAGUAAUGCCACACUCGAUUAGUCGUGGUCGUCUCAAUCACCUAAUCUCCAGCUACAAAUUGCCACGAUAGAGGUGAUCAGGCUCUUUAUUAGCUAGCUAUAUGUACAUGCAUCGUGUGUAAUAUUACCACACAUAGUUUAUUUUAAAAUCCCAAACCAGGCUCAAACUGGCAUGGGCUCGGUGACACACCGCACCUUGAUGGCAAAUCUUGAGCUAUCCUGAAUGCCUCGCGAACAUCUUCCCCCUCAAUCUGUCCCUCGCUCUGUUGCUUCUGAAUAGCCUGUCUCAGACCCUCGCAUCUGCACUGUGAUGUCAUCUGCUCGAGAUGGUCACAGCAUAAAGGAUAGUAGUCCAUUCUCGGUCCCCAUCCGGUAACUUCUUUCUUGAUAUAUUGCUGACAGCGCCACAGAUUCUGCUGCUUUUCAAUCUCUGCACUACAUGAACCUCUUUGUUGCUGAUGAAUAUCCUGUCUUAGAAUAUUGUUUGCGUCCUCAGCGUCCACUAUGACAGUUGUUCGGUAGAUGGAGGCAUCUACCAAGAAGAGUAGAGCUAUGAAGCUUGCUAAAAGGAUGGCGAGUUUUGCCAUAGAUGAUGAGUACUUGUAGAAGUGGAUUAUUUUGCUUGGUGGGCGAGUAGAGUGAUGAGGGUUAAUUUAUAGGGUUUUCAGGGGUUUUGCAUGGUGUGUACGUGUUGUAUUGAUUGGAAUUAAGGUUACACGUUGUUUGCUGCAGCGACACGUAUAAUUGUGCCAUAAUGUUGGUCAUGAAUUCUGUUAAUUGAAUUGAAAUACAUCCACAUUAUUUGCGGGAUAAAUUUUCUAACUUUUGAUUCAAGUUAAAUUAUAUAUAUAUAUAUAUAUAAUAUAUAUUAAGCGUGGUCUAUGGAUAAUAUAUUAUCUUUUUUAAUACUUAAAAUGUAAUGUGUGAAAACUUAAAAUGUAAUAUAUCUAAUUUUAUUUACAAGUCAUUCUUAUAUAUUGAAAACUUAAAAUAUUAUUCUCUAUUUUUAGUUCAAUAAUAAAACAAUUACUUUUGAAAAAAAGUCUCUUACAAAAUAUUAAUUAAUUAAAAUUAAUUCUGAAGCACUCAUAUAUAUUAUUUAAAAAUAUAUAAUAAUUUAAGUUUAUCCACU